rnacentral:rRNA from 1 species
GAUGAACGCUGGCGGCGUGCCUAAUACAUGCAAGUCGAGCGAACAGACGAGGAGCUUGCUCCUCUGACGUUAGCGGCGGACGGGUGAGUAACACGUGGAUAACCUACCUAUAAGACUGGGAUAACUUCGGGAAACCGGAGCUAAUACCGGAUAAUAUAUUGAACCGCAUGGUUCAAUAGUGAAAGACGGUUUUGCUGUCACUUAUAGAUGGAUCCGCGCCGCAUUAGCUAGUUGGUAAGGUAACGGCUUACCAAGGCAACGAUGCGUAGCCGACCUGAGAGGGUGAUCGGCCACAAUGGAACUGAGACACGGUCCAGACUCCUACGGGAGGCAGCAGUAGGGAAUCUUCCGCAAUGGGCGAAAGCUUGACGGAGCAACGCCGCGUGAGUGAUGAAGGUCUUCGGAUCGUAAAACUCUGUUAUUAGGGAAGAACAAAUGUGUAAGUAACUAUGCACGUCUUGACGGUACCUAAUCAGAAAGCCACGGCUAACUACGUG